rnacentral:rRNA from 1 species
CCUACGGGAGGCAGCAGUGGGGAAUCUUCCGCAAUGGACGAAAGUCUGACGGAGCAACGCCGCGUGAGUGAUGAAGGUCUUCGGAUUGUAAAACUCUGUUGUCAGGGACGAAUGUACUGAUCUAUAAUACACUUCGGUAUUGACGGUACCUGACGAGGAAGCCACGGCUAACUACGUGCCAGCAGCCGCGGUAAUACGUAGGUGGCAAGCGUUGUCCGGAAUUAUUGGGCGUAAAGAGCAUGUAGGCGGGCUUUUAAGUCCGACGUGAAAAUGCGGGGCUUAACCCCGUAUGGCGUUGGAUACUGGGAGUCUUGAGUGCAGGAGAGGAAAGGGGAAUUCCCAGUGUAGCGGUGAAAUGCGUAGAUAUUGGGAGGAACACCAGUGGCGAAGGCGCCUUUCUGGACUGUGUCUGACGCUGAGAUGCGAAAGCCAGGGUAGCAAACGGGAUUAGAUACCCUGGUAGUC